GUCAUACGGUACCUCUGCUGCUGCAGCUCCUCUUUCCCGGGCCGCCUGUUGUGCUGCAACUGCUGCCUGCACAUGAACCACGAUGUCAGCUGAGGGGUUGGGGCCAAAAUGUGCCAGCCUUAUUUGUACUGCCCGGUUGAAUUGUAUUUCCUCGGGUGUUAAAUCCAAGGUACUGGGCACGUUGACUCUUUCCAUUCCCGUUGCUGCAUCCAUC